GAAAUAAACAUAACAAUUUAAUUAAAUACAAUUCCACAACUAAUGUUUCCUGUCAUCCACAAUUUCAAAUCAGUGAAUUACAUAGCUCAAUUCAAUUCUCAAAUAAUAAUUUUCGGAAAGCAUACAUGUCCACAACAAAAUUACUUCAAGAUAUCAAGUACAAAACAUGUCAUUCGAAGUCUUUAAACAAGUAAUUAAUCCAAUAAUUAAGACUUGAUGAACGACUUACAAAUACGAGUACACAAGUAGUCCAACUGAAACACACCAAGCACUCAUAAGAGCUAAUCCAACCAAUAACAUUACUCGGCACUUAGUGCCUAGCCCGCAGGUCAACAUCCCUCCAAAACACACCUCGGCACUAAGUGCCAGCCCGAAGACUUUACAUCCACCCUUGGUAACACGCUAGAAUCCGAGAAUAAUACAUGAUGGCUCGCAACAAAUGUUGAACCUUGGUAUACUCAGGAAAUAUAUAAUUCAUGUAACAUCUCCUCCUCUUCAAGCCCCGUAUAAUAUUCCAUGUAAUCAGUCAUACUCUAUCCCGCGUUCAUCCGACCCAAACAUAAUAAUUCAAUAGGCAUUUUCAUAGUAAUUUCACAUCAUUAAUAUAACAAUUAAUAUCCAUUAUUCCAUAGCAUAUCAUUAUACAAUUCAUAUAAAUAUUAAAUUACAAACCGAACGAACUUACUUGGACUAAAUUAUAAUAGUUGCAGAAGUUUAGGGACUAUUCUGCAAUUUUCCCUUUUCCACGUAAGUCAAUAGGGUAUUGAUCUAAAAUGUAAAUUUUUUUUCUUUAUUAGCUUAUAAUCAUAUGUCAAUUAAUUCUACAUUUUAUACCCUUUUAUAUUUUGAAAUUACACAAUUACCUUAACUUUUACAACUUUUGCAAUUUAAUUCUUUAACCCAAAAAUUAUCAAAUUAAUCAUUUUUUCAAGUUCAAAAUUUACAGCCAAAUAAUCUAGGCCCUUAAACAGUCCCAAUUAUACCUCUAAAUCACCAUCAAACAUUAAAAAUUUGACAUUUUAAUAAUUUAAUCCUUAAAUCAAAAAAUAAUAAAAAUUACUUCACAAAACAACCAAAUACUACAAUUAAAUCUUCAAACACAUAAUUAUCAUAAAAAACAACUAAAAUUCAUCAAUGACAACUUCUAAAAUUUUUACAGAUUCAAAAACGGAGGUACGGAUUAGCUAGACCUAUUUGUAACGAUCUCAAAAAUAUAAAAAUUUCAAGAAAACAUGCAAAUUUCCAUACCAUACAAGGCCAAGGAGUUGCCUGAAGCUUCCUAAGUCUUCAAUGGCGAUUUCAGCAGGUGAUAAAGAAAGAUGAAGGAGAAAUGUCUAAUUCUUUCAAUUUGUUUUGUUU
rnacentral:lncRNA from 1 species